UUCAGCUCGGCUCGGCUGGCUCGGCUCACAGCGUGACAGCUCAGCUCUCGGCGGAGCUUGAGACGCAUCGAAGAUGGCGACUAGAGGGUAGGGUCGGGCCGGAGACGCGCAUCGCAAGGCAACCUCUUCCCCCCGAUAGAGACAGCCGUGGAGUAUCGGGGCGAGCCACCCGCUCGGGUCGAGUCCGAUCUGGUGGUGGGUUCCUCCGGUUUUCCGCUAAUUCAAGAUUCCGUCGAGGUGCGCAGUGGUUAAAACACUAACUCACACAUAAUCCGCUCGUCCUUCAUUUACGUUGAUACCUAAAUAGCGAUUAACGCGCGUUUAACGUACUCUCGUUCGCUCGUCAACGUCUAGUCAGAAGGAUAGAGGAAAAAAAAUGGAAGAAAGAAGAGAAAUGAAUCGGCGAAAAAGGAAACCGUGACGCUCUGAUCGAGAUAAGGGUCGACAUAUGCGAGAAACCAAGCCAAAGUGUGUAAAUAUAGAAACAAGAUAGCUAGGCUGAUUCAGAGGGAUCUCUCGACGGUCAUCUUCCUCGUCGUGAUGAUAUCGUACUAAAAAAAAAAAAAAAAAAAAAAAAAUUCAAUUCC